GCGGACGGGUGAGUAACACGUGGAUAACCUACCUAUAAGACUGGGAUAACUUCGGGAAACCGGAGCUAAUACCGGAUAAUAUAUUGAACCGCAUGGUUCAAUAGUGAAAGACGGUUUUGCUGUCACUUAUAGAUGGAUCCGCGUCGCAUUAGCUAGUUGGUAAGGUAACGGCUUACCAAGGCAACGAUGCGUAGCCGACCUGAGAGGGUGAUCGGCCACACUGGAACUGAGACACGGUCCAG
rnacentral:rRNA from 1 species